UACAGAGAGUGCAAACGUUGUUCGGAAUUACUGGGCUUGAAGCGCACGUAGGCGGCGUUGUAAGUGUCGGGUGAAAUCCCACGGCUCACCCGUGGAACUGCCCGGCAUACUGCGAUGCUAGAGUGUGGUAGGGGAGAGCGGAACUCCUGGUGGAGCGGUGAAAUGCGUAGAUAUCAGGAGGAACACCGGUGGCGAAGGCGGAUCUCUGGGCCGAUACUGACGCUGAGGAGCGAAAGCGUGGGGAGCGAACAGG
rnacentral:rRNA from 1 species